CUUUGGUUUGAUUUUGAAGCAACAUCACAAGUUUGUUUAAUCAUCCAAUUUAGCUGCCCUCAGUUAAAAACAUUCAUUUAAUUUUCAUAAUAAGAUUUCAAUGCAUAUUACAAUAAUUGUUUAACUUUUAAAAUGGAAUCUUAAAGCAUUAAUGUCGGUUGCAUGGGUAAUUGGGCACUAUGAACUUGUUGGACCAGAAUGUUGCAUCUCUAACAAAAUAAAGGGACACAACCUAAUCUGAACCCAACACAUAUAACUCAGGACACUCAAUAUAAUCUGUGUUGUCAGAUUGUACUGCAGUCACUGGAAAUCUUCCUGACAACUUAUUUCCUACCUUACUUUGAAGCAAGUGCAUCUGUUCAGACCUCUGAGGUGACCCUGAGCUUCUGGUUACUUAUCACUAUAGUUCUCCAUCCCACUCCUAUUCUGACCUCUCUCUUUCUCUUUGGUUUCCUUAACUGCUCCACUAAAACUGAAAGUAAGUAGAACAGGACUGCAUUUCCAAUGGUAUAUUACUCUUCAGAACUCAACAGCUGCAGCAAACCAACUUUUCCAGUCUAGUAUCUCACAUUUUUCAGCUUUUUCUGUUUUUGCUUUUUGUCUUUCUCAUCUUUUAAUAUUUCAGAUUUUAUUCAUUUCCUUAUUCUUGUACCUUGUCUAGUCAUUGCUUUUCUAAUUCACACAUCUUCCACCUUCUUUCAACCAACACCACUACCAUCAUUUAAUAUUAUUCAAUCUUGCCUUGUCUCCAUCCUCUCAUGGAUCUUCUCUUUGUUCUCUCCACCUCUUUCACCUUUCUCUAUAAGUUCAAACAUGUUUUACUUCUAACUUUUCCCAGUUCUGCUGAAAAUCAGUUUUGUCUCUGUACGAAGGUUAUCUGACCUGUUGAGUAUGUCCAGCAUAUUCUGUUUUUUUUUUUCACACACAACAGUCUCUGGAGUUUACAGGGAAUGGUAUGAUAAACAAAAACAUCCAGUUCUGUGGGUGAAAAUGCCGCGGUAAUGAGAGAGGUCAGAGGAGAAUAGCCAGACUGGUUCAAGUUGACAGGAAGACAACAGUAACUUAAAUAACCGCAUGUUAUAACAGUGGGGUGCAGAAGAGUAUCUUUGAAUGCACAGCAUGUUGAACCCUAAAAUGGAUUAGCUACAGCAACAGAUGACUAUAAACUUACACUGAGUGGUACCUAAUAAAGUGGCCACUGAUUGUACAUCUUUCUUAAUUUUUUUGUAUCUCCAUCAAGUCACCUAUCUGCCUCUAAAGCUCCAAAGAAAACAGUCCAUGUCUGUAGGAUAUAUAGUUACAUAUCCUCAUGUAGUUAGUACACUCCAAUCCAGGCAAUAUUCUGGUUAUCCUCUUCCGGAUCCUCUCUGUAGUAUGUUUUAUACAGCUCCAACUUGAUUUCCCAGCUCUUAUAUUUAAUACCACAAUCAAUCAAGACAAUCAUGCUGUAUAUCUUCUCUACCAUCCUUUCACUCGAAGAUCCUUCUGUACAUCAAUGCCCCUAAGGGUCCUACAACUUACUGCAUACUUUCCUCUUGCGUUUGACCCUGCAAAAUACAUCAUCUCACACUUGUCUGGAGUAAACUUCACCUGCCAUUUCUCCUCUAAAUUUCCAACUAGCUAUAUUCUUCUGUAUACUUUGACAAACUUCCUUACUAUCCACAGUCCACCAAUUUUCAUGUUAUCUUCAAACUUAUUAAUUAGCUCUCCUAUAUUUUCAUCCAGAUCAUUAAUAUAGUUUACAAACAGCGGUCUCAACACCAAACCUUGUAAAACACCACUUGUCUUCUAUGGCCAAGUCAGUUUUGUAUCCAACUUACCAACUUACCAUGGAUCUCAUGUGACAAUCUUCAGGACCAGCCUACCAUGAGUGACAUGGUCAAGUGUUUUACUGGAGUCCUCAAGGAGACAACAUCUACUGCCUUAUUCUUAUCAAUCAUCUUCAUCACAUCUUCAAAAAACUCAGUCAAAUUUGUGAGUCAGAAACCUGCUUAAUAUUCCUAAUAAGUCCCUUCAUUUCUAAACAUUUAUUUCUAAACUUUGUUUUCUGCCUGCCAAUUCUCUAUCAAUGUACAAUAUUACCUUUAUCUGCUGUAAUAACCUUUUGUGUUGCAGCUAAUUGAAUGUCAUUUAGAAAUUGUAACAUAAUAUAUCCUCCUAGUUACAGCCUCAAAGGACUCUGAUAGACCUGUUAAACAUGGUUUGCAUGAUAGUAAAUUGGCAGAGAACUAUUACAUUAUUACUUAACAGAGCCACAUCAUGUGGUUAUGAAACAACCAUUGAGCACAUCUACCUGAAAUGUUGCUGUAGAAAAGCACCAACCAUCAUCAAGAUGCUCAUGACCCAAGCCAUGCUCUUUUCUUGCUGCUGCCUUCAGGUAGAAGAUACAAGUGCCUCAGGACUCACACCACCAGCUUCAACAACAGUUACUACUUUUCAACCAUCAGGCUCUUGAACAAAAGAGGAUAACUAUACUCAUUCUAUUUCUGUCGAAUACUGGAAAUGACAUUAAACAAUCUUGAAUCUUUAGGAGUCAAAUAGAUGGUGACUAAGCUUAUGCAUCUUCAUCAAGUCACCUUUCAUCCUCCUUUGCUCCAAAGAGAAAAACCCUAGCUUGUUCAUCCUUUCCAACUCAAGUUUUCAGUAUUAUUUUUUGUAUGCAUAGUUUUUUUAACAUUGUAUACUUUUUUGUAUAUUCUUUUGUAUUUUUUCCAGUAAAUGCUCGCAAGAAAAUGAAUCUCAAGGUAGUAUAUAACAACAUAUACGUACUUAAAUAAGAAAUUUACUUUGGAAGUUCCUCAUAACACUUUCUCUAAUCCAGGCAGCUUCCUGCUAAAUCUCCUCUGCUCCCUCUCUGAAGCUUCCACAUUCAUCUCACAUUCAGUCUGUAGUGUAUUUAAACUUUCAGUAAUAUUUAAAUAAUAUUGUAAAUGUAUUGCUUUGAUUAAGCAUUCUUUGGUUUCAUUAAUUCAUUACGGUUUAUGUGUAAAAGUACAUGAAUGGCAUACGUCGUUGCACUACCAUGUCAUACCUUUCUAAAAGUAAAAAUGAAACUAGGACACGCA